GUUUACUCUGAAGUAAGUCUCUUGUGUUCCAUGGGACUUUUUCCUAGGAAAAUAUGCAUAGGACUGCAGCUUUAUUGUGAAAAAUGAAUUCCCUAAAAAGUUCCCUCCACCUUGUAUCAAACCUAUUACUAAUAUGUCAGUCUAAAAAUGAUAAUACAGCUAUCUUGGUUUAAACAAUAAUGAGAUUGCUCAUUUCCAUUUGCUUCUAACUAUUCUAGAGACUUAUUAUUCUACAAUUUUGUACCUACGGAUCUCCAGCCUAAAUGUAUCAGACAUAAUACAUUCAUUAUUCUUGUACCUGCAUUCUCUAUCAGCUGAAAAGAGAUACAUCCCCUUCUGUUAGCAGAAUCAGAACAGAUAAGGAAAUGGGCAUAAUUUUUCUUCCUGAUGUACUCAAGGCUGGCAUAAAAGAUGCAUUGUGAUCUUAAAGUUGCAAUUCUCCAAAGACUCCUUUGACCUCUUUGCUCUUAUGCAGAUUUUUAGCAGUAUGUUCUCCUUCUGGCUGGCUGAACAGAAAGUAGAAUCUCAGUUGAUACCUUUCAGAAAAUACGUCUUCUGCUUUCUGAUCAGUCAGCCAGAAGGGAAGUCCUGUACUGAGACCGUUGCAGAGAAAGAAGGUCAAAAAAACCCAAGGGAAUCUCACCUCAGUCUAGAUUGUAAUGUAUCGUUCUUACUGCAUGCUACACUUCUGUUAAGAAUCUGAUUCAAUCAGGUAGGGGCUAAAAGGGUUGCAAGUAGUGGUCCCCCUCCCCCACACACCCUGAUGAUAAAGGGUAAUGGCCUUUGUUCACAUUCACUAAUUGUGGCAGAGCAUGGUACUAACCUUUUCUAAACAAAACCACACUUGAAGUAUUAGUAGCUUUGGGCUUGCAUGACAGUUAACCACAUGUUUUGGGCUUGAUGACAGUUAACCACAUGUAGUAAGGCUGACAUAACAGGACUGCUCUUGCAAUUCUAAUCAGAGUAGGAUCUCAUCCUACCCAUGUUCAGGAGCAGUCCAAUUGUCUGUGAGUAAAAAGCAAGGAAAGAUGGGGAGGAAGUGAUUGUCUGCUAAGCAGCAGCUAGGUUGGAGGGCUUUUUGUCCUACCUCGUUAAAGAGCUGGGUACAGCUGCGGGGCAUAACAGAGCCCAUGUUUUGAACUGCCUGAAUUUCAUUCAUGUCCCAUGUGCUAUGAAGAUAGACCACAGACUAGAGUAACAACUAUAGCUUCUCCAGCAGGCUGUGCAAAGAGUUGAUCAUGCACACUUUGCAUUACCUACCGGUUUUUACAAUGAUAUCCUGCCUUUUGGUUUUCCUACCCAUGUUCGGGAGCUGUCCGAUUGUCUGUGAGUAAAAAGCAAGGAAAGACGGGGAGGAAAUGAUUGUCCGCUAAGCAGCAGCUGGGUUGGGAUACUUAUGACAUCUCCCCACCGAAGAAUCUGAAGAUUGUGGGGCAGAGCUAAUCAUGGAACCAUAACAAAAUGGAGCCGAGGUCAUCCAUUCAUCUCUAUUUUACAAGACCAUGAAGAGUGUUCCUGUCAUAUGUGCAAAAAAAAAAAAAAAAAAAGACAAGACAAAAACAACCCAAGCCUUCAAGGAUCCUUUUUCUCAAGUUUUGACCAGGAGUCCUCAUAAAGCCAAAAGGGCUUUCAAAGCCCUCUUCAAAGAGGUCAUCUGCAGCAGGGUCACUGGUAUGAGAUGCUGAGGAUUUGGAUGGAGAACUUUGUCUAGGAGCAGGAGUUGGAGCUAAACAAAGAUGACAGCAAGAGUUUGUAUUAAGUGGACCACUGAGACAGAAAUAUCAUCUUGGAAUGUGCUGAACUGUUGUGGACUGUGAGCCUUGUGCUAUAGUGUGAUGAAGUGAAAUUAUUCCCAAAAUUAAUGGCAUGUGGGUCAAACAAAAGCAAAUUUUCCCCUAGUAAAACAUUUGCGGCCAUCUGAGU